rnacentral:rRNA from 1 species
GACGAACGCUGGCGGUGUGCCUAAUACAUGCAAGUAGGACGCAGUUGCGAACGGGUGAGUAACGCGUAGGUAACUACCUAUUAGAGGGGGAUAACUAUUGGAAACGAUAGCCAAUACCGCAUACUAGUAGAUGGACCUGCGUCGUAUUAGUGAGUAGGUAGGGUAAUGGCCUACCUAGGCAACGAUACAUAACCGACCUGGGAGGGUGAUCGGCCACACUGGGACUGAGACACGGCCCAGACGCCUACGGGAGGCAGCAGUAGGGAAUCUUCGGCAAUGGGGGAGACCCUGACCGAGCAGCGCCGCGUGGGUGAGGAAGGUUUUCGGAUCGUAAAGCUCUGUUGUUAAGGAAGCGGUACUUAACCAGAAAGGGACGGCUAACUACGUGCCAGCAGCCGCGGUAAUUC